rnacentral:rRNA from 1 species
UACGUAGGGUGCAAGCGUUGUCCGGAAUUAUUGGGCGUAAAGAGCUCGUAGGCGGUUUGUCGCGUCUGCUGUGAAAACUCGGGGCUUAACUCCGGGCCUGCAGUGGGUACGGGCAGACUAGAGUGCGGUAGGGGAGACUGGAAUUCCUGGUGUAGCGGUGAAAUGCGCAGAUAUCAGGAGGAACACCAACGGCGAAGGCAGCUUGCUGGGACGGUACUGACGCUGAGAUGCGAAAGCGUGGGGAGCAAACAGG